rnacentral:lncRNA from 1 species
UCCCUUCUACAGAUGAGGAAAUUGAAGUUGAGAGAGAUUAAGCAGUUUGAACACGAUAACAAUGCUAGUUAAGUGAUGCAGUGGGAUUCGAACAGGGUUCUGUGACUUCAGAGACUAUCUUUGUAAUUACUACAUUUUGAAUUGUCAUUAAAUACAUAACAGGCAUCACCUCGUCUACCUGGAAUCAAUAAUGUACACUCUAAGAAUUUAGCUGAGAAGAGUAAGGAGAACAUAAAAGGAUGCAACAUGUCAAAAGUUUAAGGGCUAAAGUUGUUAACUUGCUUGGUUAUCUCAACAUCAAGUUUACAAAACAGAAGCAACAGGGAAGGUGAGGAAUGAAGAGCAUCUACGGAUACAGGCAUGAGAACAGACAACCUGAAAAUUCAUAAAAGGAAUUAAAGACAGCAGGUUACAGUAUUUAAACUCAAGUUCUACGGACCUUUGUAUUCAACAAAGGAGCUCUGAUCAUCA